UACGUAGGGGGCGAGCGUUGUCCGGAAUCAUUGGGCGUAAAGAGCGUGUAGGCGGCUUGGCAAGUCUGACGUGAAAGCCCGCGGCUCAACCGCGGAUUGUCGUUGGAAACUGCCUCGCUAGAGUCCGGAAGAGGAGAGCGGAAUUCCUGGUGUAGCGGUGGAAUGCGCAGAUAUCAGGAAGAACACCCGUGGCGAAGGCGGCUUCCUGGCCUGUAACUGACGCUGAGACGCGAAAGCGUGGGGAGCGAACCGG
rnacentral:rRNA from 1 species